rnacentral:lncRNA from 1 species
AGGGUGAAAACGAAAGGAAGCAUUGCCAGCCUGGAAGAAACUAGUUUCCUAUCAAACACAUUGAAACAUCUCCUACCUACUGUUGGAUUUAAUAAACUUUACAUUUCUGGAAAGAGCUCAUCAACAAAUUCAGCCUUUUUGGGAAGGGAGCAGGAAGAGUAGCUGAUUUGAGCUAUCCAAAGAUUCUGCACGUCUGCAGCAGUGAAGAUCCACAAUUCCAGCCAAGCAAAUCUCCUGGGAGCAGCGAGAGCCUCUGAAGAAGCAAUAUUUAGAUGGGAAACUUAUGUCCUCCAAGCUGGCAAGCUGCAACAGUGACACAGAUUUUUUUUUUCUUGUCGCUGCAAAACUCUCCCUGUAAAAGAUGUCCCUGAGGAUUUGAAGAACAGUGAUUUGAAGUGAUUGCAUUGG